AGAGGGUUGACAGAGUGGUUUAAUGUAUCGCACUGCUAAUGCGACGUCCGAAAGGAUGCAUGGGUUCGAAUCCCAUACCCUCGG
rnacentral:tRNA from 2 species